UCGAUUCCCUGAGUAGCGGCGAGCGAAACGGGAAGAGCCCAAACCAACAAGCUUGCUUGUUGGGGUUGUAGGACUCCAAUAUGGUAGUCUGUUAGUAUAGUUGAAGGAUUUGGAAAAUUCCGCUAAAGAGGGUGAAAGCCCCGUAGACGAAAUGCUAACAACACCUAGGAGGAUCCUGAGUACGGCGGAACACGAGAAAUUCCGUCGGAAUCCGCGGGGACCAUCCCGCAAGGCUAAAUACUCCCUAGUGACCGAUAGUGAACCAGUACCGUGAGGGAAAGGUGAAAAGCACCCCGGAAGGGGAGUGAAAUAGAUCCUGAAACCGUGUGCCUACAACAAGUCAAAGCUCGUUAAUGAGUGAUGGCGUGCCUUUUGUAGAAUGAACCGGCGAGUUACGAUUGCAUGCGAGGUUAAGUCGAAGAGACGGAGCCGCAGCGAAAGCGAGUCUGAAUAGGGCGAAUGAGUAUGUAGUCGUAGACCCGAAACCAUGUGAUCUACCCAUGUCCAGGUUGAAGGUGCGGUAAAACGCACUGGAGGACCGAACCCACGUACGUUGAAAAGUGCGGGGAUGAGGUGUGGGUAGCGGAGAAAUUCCAAACGAACUUGGAGAUAGCUGGUUCUCUCCGAAAUAGCUUUAGGGCUAGCCUCGGAAUUGAGAAUGAUGGAGGUAGAGCACUGUUUGGACUAGGGGCCCAUCUCGGGUUACCGAAUUCAGAUAAACUCCGAAUGCCAUUCAUUUAUAUCCGGGAGUCAGACUGCGAGUGAUAAGAUCCGUAGUCGAAAGGGAAACAGCCCAGACCACCAGCUAAGGUCCCAAAAUAUAUGUUAAGUGGAAAAGGAUGUGGGGUUGCACAGACAACUAGGAUGUUGGCUUAGAAGCAGCCACCAUUUAAAGAGUGCGUAAUAGCUCACUAGUCGAGUGACCCUGCGCCGAAAAUGUACCGGGGCUAAACAUAUUACCGAAGCUGUGGACUACACCAUUAGGUGUAGUGGUAGGAGAGCGUUCUAAGGGCGUUGAAGGUCGAUCGUGAGGACGGCUGGAGCGCUUAGAAGUGAGAAUGCCGGUAUGAGUAGCGAAAGACAGGUGAGAAUCCUGUCCACCGUAUGACUAAGGUUUCCUGGGGAAGGCUCGUCCGCCCAGGGUUAGUCGGGACCUAAGCCGAGGCCGAUAGGCGUAGGCGAUGGACAACAGGUUGAUAUUCCUGUACCAGUUGUUUUUGUUUGAGCAAUGGAGGGACGCAGUAGGCUAAGGAAUGCAUGCGAUUGGAAGUGCAUGUCCAAGCAAUGAGUCUUGAGUAGAGUUAAAUGCUUUACUCUUUAAGGACAAGUUGUGACGGGGAGCGAAAUAAUAGUAGCGAAGUUCCUGAUGUCACACUGCCAAGAAAAGCUUCUAGUGAGAAAACAACUGCCCGUACCGUAAACCGACACAGGUAGUCGAGGAGAGUAUCCUAAGGUGAGCGAGCGAACUCUCGUUAAGGAACUCGGCAAAAUGACCCCGUAACUUCGGGAGAAGGGGUGCUGACUUCGGUCAGCCGCAGUGAAUAGGCCCAAGCGACUGUUUAUCAAAAACACAGGUCUCUGCAAAAUCGUAAGAUGAAGUAUAGGGGCUGACGCCUGCCCGGUGCUGGAAGGUUAAGAGGAUGGGUUAGCUUCGGCGAAGCUCAGAAUUGAAGCCCCAGUAAACGGCGGCCGUAACUAUAACGGUCCUAAGGUAGCGAAAUUCCUUGUCGGGUAAGUUCCGACCCGCACGAAAGG
rnacentral:rRNA from 1 species